rnacentral:rRNA from 1 species
AACGAACGCUGGCGGCGUGGAUUAGGCAUGCAAGUCGUGCGCGAAAGUGGUAGCAAUACUGCGAGUAGAGCGGCGAACUGGUGAGUACAAGGUGAAUAACGUGCCCUCGAGUUGGGGAUAACCCCGGGAACGGAGCUAAUACCGGAUAGUCUCACUGACCGCAAGGAAUGUGAGUAAAGCAGUAAUGCGCUUGAGGAUCGGUUCACCUCCCAUUAGCUAGUUGGUGGGGUAANGGCCCACCAAGGCUACGAUGGGUAGCUGGACUGAGAGGUUGACCAGCCACAC